AUUGAACGCUGGCGGCAUGCUUUACACAUGCAAGUCGAACGGUAACAGGCCGCAAGGUGCUGACGAGUGGCGAACGGGUGAGUAAUGCAUCGGAACGUGCCCAGUCGUGGGGGAUAACGCAGCGAAAGCUGCGCUAAUACCGCAUACGAUCUAUGGAUGAAAGCGGGGGACCGUAAGGCCUCGCGCGAUUGGAGCGGCCGAUGUCAGAUUAGGUAGUUGGUGGGGUAAAGGCUCACCAAGCAAACGAUCUGUAGCUGGUCUGAGAGGACGACCAGCCACACUGGGACUGAGACACGGCCAAGACUCCUACGGGAGGCAGCAGUGGGGAAUUUUGGACAAUGGGCGCAAGCCUGAUCCAGCAAUGCCGCGUGCAGGAAGAAGGCCUUCGGGUUGUAAACUGCUUUUGUACGGAACGAAACGGCUCUGGUUAAUACCUGGGGCUAAUGACGGUACCGUAAGAAUAAGCACCGGCUAACUACGUGCCAGCCGCCGCAGUAAAAC
rnacentral:rRNA from 1 species